rnacentral:rRNA from 1 species
CUUACCAGGUCCAGACACAGUUAGGAUUGACAGAUUGAAAGCUCUUUCUUGAUUCUGUGGGUGGUGGUGCAUGGCCGUUCUUAGUUGGUGGAGUGAUUUGUCUGGUUAAUUCCGAUAACGAACGAGACCUCAGCCUAUUAAUUAAAUAAAAGAAUAUAAGCGUUUAUAAGGGUUUAAUAUAAAAUUAAUAAAUUUCAUUUUUGGAAUUUAUUUUUUAUAUUAAAAACUUGUUUAUAUUUAUUUUUAUUUUCUUAAAGGGACACUUGGUGUUUAACCAAGGGAAGUUUGAGGCAAUAACAGGUCUGUGAUGCCCUUUAGAUGUUCUGGGCCGCACGCGCGCUACACUGAUAAAAUCAAUAAGUUUUUUAAUUUAAUUCCUUGACUGAAAAGUUUGGGUAAACUUUGAAAAUUUUAUCGUGCUGGGGAUUGACAAUUGUAAUUACUUGUCAUGAACGAGGAAUUCCUAGUAAACGUAAGUCAUCAGCUUACGUUGAUUACGUCCCUGCCCUUUGUACACACCGCCCGUC